GUCUUUAAGAUUUAUAAUUUAAGGUUUAAUCUGCCCAAUGAGGAUUUAAAUGGCUGCAGUAAUUUGACUGUACAAAGGUAGCAUAAUAAUUAGUUUUUUAAUUAAAAGCUGGUAUGAAUGAUUGGACGAGAGAGUAACUAUUUAAAAUUAAUAUAAAUAGAAUUUUAUUUUUAAGUUAAAAAGCUUAAAUUUAUUUAAAAGACGAGAAGACCCUAUAGAGUUUUAUAUAUAAUUAGUUUUAACUUUUUUUUUGAUUUUAGAAUUAAAGGUAUAUUUUAUUGGGGUAAUAAGAAAAUUAAAUUAACUUUUUUACUAUAUUAACAAAAAUUUUUGGUUAAAUGAUCUUUAAUUAAGGAUUGAUAGAUUUAAUUACCUUAGGGAUAACAGCGUAAUUAUUUUGUAGAGUUCUUAUCAAUAAAAUAGAUUGCGACCUCGAUGUUGGAUUAAGAUAAAGCUUUAAUGUAGAAGUUAAAAUGUUAAGUCUGUUCGACUUUUAAAAUCUUAUAUGAUC
rnacentral:rRNA from 1 species